rnacentral:rRNA from 1 species
AUUAUGCCGGAAUGAGUAGACGAUAAAACGGGUGAGAAUCCCGUUCGCCGUAAACCUAAGGUUUCCUGGGGAAGGUAAAUCCGCCCAGGGUUAGCCGGUGCCUAAGACAAGGCCGAAAGGCGUAGUCGAUGGGGAGCAGGUUAAUAUUCCUGCGCUCCUCGCACAAUACGGGACGUCGGUCCAAGGUGGUUUAGGCUUAGUAGAUUGCCUCAGGGCGUUUAAGAUCCCGAUAUCCACCGCGAGCCGACCAAGAAAACCGUGCGAGAAACCGUACUAAGACCGACACAGGUAGGUGAGAUGAAUAUUCUAAGGCGCUCGAGAGAACUCUCGUGAAGGAACUCUGCAAUUUAACUCCGUAACUUCGGGAAAAGGAGUGCCCCCGCAAGGGGGCCGCAGUGAAAAGGUUCUGGCGACUGUUUACUAAAAACACAGGUCUGUGCAAAGGCGUAAGCCGCGGUAUACAGACUGACGCCUGCCCGGUGCUGGUAAGUUAAGGGAGAGGGUUAGCCGCAAGGUGAAGCUCGCAACCGAAGCUCCAGUAAACGGCGGCCGUAACUAUGACGGUCCUAAGGUAGCGAAGUUCCUUGUCGGGUAAGUUCCGACCUGCAUGAAUGGCGUAACGACCGGAACACUUCUCCACGAGAGACUCGGUGAAAUUGUAGUUGUCGUGAAGAUGCGACAUACCCGCAGCUAGACGGAAAGACCCCGUGAACCUUAACUGCAGUUUGGUAUUGGGUUUAGACCCAGCAUGCGUAGUGUAGGUGGGAGACUAUGAACCGCGUAUUUCGGUACGUGGGGAGUCAACGAUGAAACACCACCCUUGCUGUGUUUGAAUUCUAACCUGUUGUUUGUAGCAACAGGGACCGUGCUAAGUGGGCAGUUUGAUUGGGGCGAUCUCCUCCCAAAAGGUAACGGAGGAGUGCAAAGGUACCCUCAGCCCGGUUGGCAAUCGGGCAUCGAGCGUAAAGGUAUAAGGGUGCUUGACUGCGAGUCCGAUGGGACGAGCAGGGACGAAAGUCGGCCUUAGUGAUCCGGUGGUUCCGGAUGGAAGGGCCAUCGCUCAACAGAUAAAAGGUACUCCGGGGAUAACAGGCUUAUCUCCUCUGAGCGUUCAUAGCGGCGAGGAGGUUUGGCACCUCGAUGUCGGCUCAUCACAUCCUGGGGGUGGAGAAGCUCCCAAGGGUUCGGCUGUUCGCCGAUGAAAGUGGUACGUGAGCUGGGUUUAGACCGUCGUGAGACAGGUCGGUCCCUAUCUGCUGUGGGCGGAGGAUACUUGCGGGGCUUUCUCCCUAGUACGAGAGGACUGGGAGGGACGCACCUCUGAUGUUCCAGUUGUGGCGCUAGCCGCAGCGCUGGGUAGUCACGUGCGGAUGGGAUAAACGCUGAAGGCAUAUAAGCGUGAAACUUCCCCCAAGAUCAGGUAUCCCGCGCAAGCGAAGGCUCCUCGUAGACUACGAGGUCGAUAGGCCGGGCGUGUAAGUGUGGCAACACACUCAGCUAACCGGUACUAACAGCCGAACGUUUGGCCGC